ensembl:lncRNA
GGUUUUGAUCCUGAAAGACGCUUGUUUGAGCCGUGAGGAGGAUUCUGUGCACGAUGACCUUUGACCCUGUAAACAGCUCAGACUGAGACUCAGUCGACCAGUCAGACUGGACUUUGCUGGUGACGUGAGGACACACCCUCUGUGAUGAAGAACAACAAGCUCUAACAAGCUGCGUCACCUGGAAGCUGAAGUGAAGCACGGAGCUCCUUUUCUACACGGACCUGCUGAGGACAGAAGAGAGCUGCUCACUGAGGAACUUCAUGUCUACAAGAUCACAGGUUGGUGUGAAGGUCUGAAGGUGUGGACUCUGCUAUGAAUCAGGGUGAGGACCCAGAGGACGGAGUCCGUCCCUCUGAAGCUCCUCUGUGUGGGGAACAUGACAGCCUGACCAAAGCUCAGAGAAUCCAACAGACCAGGACCUGAUCCUGGAUCUGGACCUGAACCCAGCUGUGUGUCCGUGAAGAGUAACCGGUCCAUGAGGCCUCCUCUCAAGUGUGUAACCGUGGUUUAGACAUUGGGGGGUCGACGGUGGGGUGGACGCUAUGGGGGUUUCCAGAGCCCCUUGCGUGUCCCUUGCGUGUCUUUUCGUCGACCCAUUUUUCUAGACUAGCGUUUAUUAAAAGGAAGAACGUUUACGAGAGAACGGAUCAGACCGAAGAGCUUUACGCAUUUCUUCCCUCAAAAGUUCUUCAAUCUGAUCCGUUCUCUCGUAAACGUUCUUCCUCUUAAUAACGGCCGUAUCGUGCUGUGAAGACGGAGACGUGAGACUCUAAAGGACGUAGUCAGUGGACCAAUCACAGCCUGCUGCUGCAGGACGCUGCAAAGCUUUACACGCAAGGAGGUGUGAAAAGACACGCGGGGGACUCUUGCGUGUCCCUCGCGUCGCUCUGAACACGCAGAAGCAUAAACGAGGCUUAAGACGAGUCUCAAAAAAAACUCACACAAAUGUGACGCGAUCCGCAAAUAUAAAUCAUAAUUUAUUGAAGUGCGUUGAAAUGCUUUUGUGUUUAUAAAUCAAAUUGAAUUUGUGAGUCGUUCUGUGCGCAACUAUUGAGCCUGAUUGGACCACAUGUACAUUAAUGUGUGUGUGUAAAUGUGUGUGUGUGUGUGUGUAUAUAUG